rnacentral:rRNA from 1 species
ACGGGUGAGUAAUGUCUGGGGAUCUGCCCGAUAGAGGGGGAUAACCACUGGAAACGGUGGCUAAUACCGCAUAACGUCGCAAGACCAAAGAGGGGGACCUUCGGGCCUCUCACUAUCGGAUGAACCCAGAUGGGAUUAGCUAGUAGGCGGGGUAAUGGCCCACCUAGGCGACGAUCCCUAGCUGGUCUGAGAGGAUGACCAGCCACACUGGAACUGAGACACGGUCCAGACUCCUACGGGAGGCAGCAGUGGGGAAUAUUGCACAAUGGGCGCAAGCCUGAUGCAGCCAUGCCGCGUGUAUGAAGAAGGCCUUCGGGUUGUAAAGUACUUUCAGCGGGGAGGAAGGCGACAGGGUUAAUAACUCUGUCGAUUGACGUUACCCGCAGAAGAAGCACCGGCUAACUCCGUGCCAGCAGCCGCGGUAAUACGGAGGGUGCAAGCGUUAAUCGGAAUUACUGGGCGUAAAGCGCACGCAGGCGGUCUGUUAAGUCAGAUGUGAAAUCCCCGGGCUUAACCUGGGAACUGCAUUUGAAACUGGCAGGCUUGAGUCUUGUAGAGGGGGGUAGAAUUCCAGGUGU